rnacentral:lncRNA from 1 species
GGGAGAGGUGACAAUGGCUGGAGAGGCACCAGGAGUCACCAGCCGAACAUGUCCAAACUCAUCUGGCGGAGCACUCAAGACCAAGCGUGCUAUCACCCGGGUUGGCUAACAAAACCCUGUCACUGGGAUCUGUGGUGCAUGGACCAUGGCUCCCUGACACCAGACUCCUGGCCACGCGGCACCGGUUACGACAUCUGGGCCCAAUACAUUCUCUGCGUGCGCUAGGGUGACGCGGUUUUAUUAUCUGUGAUGUGCCAGCAGACAGCCCGGC